rnacentral:rRNA from 1 species
UACGAAGGGGACUAGCGUUGUUCGGAAUCACUGGGCGUAAAGCGCACGUAGGCGGAUGUGUCAGUCAGGGGUGAAAUCCCGGGGCUCAACCUCGGAACUGCCUUUGAUACAGCACGUCUCGAGUCCGGAAGAGGUGAGUGGAACUGCGAGUGUAGAGGUGAAAUUCGUAGAUAUUCGCAAGAACACCAGUGGCGAAGGCGGCUCACUGGCCCGGUACUGACGCUGAGGCACGAAAGCGUGGGGAGCAAACAGG